rnacentral:rRNA from 1 species
GACGAACGCUGGCGGCGUGCUUAACACAUGCAAGUCGAACGGAAAGGCCCUGAUUUUGUGGGGUGCUCGAGUGGCGAACGGGUGAGUAACACGUGAGUAACCUGCCCUUGUCUUUGGGAUAACUUCAGGAAACUGGGGCUCAUACCGGAUAGGAUCUCCUGCUGCAUGGUGGGGGAUGGAAAGUUUCGGCGGUUGGGGAUGGUCUGGAGGGUUAUGAGCUUGUUGGUGGGGUAGUGGCUUACCAAGGUUUUGAGGGGUAGCCGGCCUGAGAGGGUGACCGGGCUCAUGGCUACUGCGAGAGGGCCCAGUCUCGAACGGUACGCAGCGGUGGAAAAUAUUGCACAAUGGCGCGGAGUGAGUGGCAAAGGUGUCCGGUUCGGGAUGACGGCCUUCGAGUUAUAAACCACUGUGUCCGGAGACGAGGCGGGAUUGACGGUAAUGAGUAAGGAAGCACCGGCUAACUACGUG